ensembl:lncRNA
AUGCUCUACCCAUUAUGGGUUAUUUUUAUGGAAUUUGGGUUAUUUUGUGCAACUCAUGCGUUGAGUCAAAAUCCAUCAACCCAACUUAUAUCGGUUAACCCAGCACGUGGGUUGUUUGUGCUUCGAACCUCAUCAUCACCAGAGUCUACACACCGAGCGCUCGUCACAGCAGAGAACCUGACUGCUCAUUCAGCGAGGCCAAUAAAUAAUAAAAGAUAUCAAAAAGGCAUCAGGUUUGGUUUGAAAGACUCCUCAAGCAGUGGCAGCGAAAUAUGGUACACCCCAGGACGGAGCCAACGGCCAGCUACUGGAUUCCUGGAGGAAAGGCUGCAGAAUGUCAGGAAGCGGCUGAGAUCAACCAGCAAGUCGCAGAGCAUGGCACAGACGACACCAGCACAAAUGCCAGAUGAUGGAACUCUUGCAAGGGCUCUCAUACCAGAAUGUACCAUAUCAGAUGAAUGUGCGUCACAGUUUAAAGAAUGGUUGAGAAACAAUUCUCAGCCCCUCAGCCAGAUAGAGACCUACAUGCAGAACACAGCAGUCUACAGGGCCAAGAGGAUUAGGGACAACAAUUGGACCAUCGAUCAGAUCCUCGAAGAGUUCCCUCGCUUAAUGACCAAAGGCAUGAUUGCACAGGACUUUCUUGUCCUACAUGGGGAUGCUGCAUCAAAGUUGUUUGAAACUUGGCUACCCAUUUAUGCUGAGAAGAUCCUGUACCUGGCAAGACAGGAGGGGAAGCUAACAAUGCCCCUGGAUGGAUUAACACCAGAUGGUGUUGGGGAACUCGCCCUGAGACAGUUGCCAGCCUUGCUUCCACCUACAACUUACAAAGUUGGCCGUGGCCGCGGUGUGAAAGUAGUUCGCCACACCAUUCAGGAAUGCAGCUUGGCCUUCAUCAACCAUAAGCCUGUAAGUCCUCAAGCACAUCUAAAGGGGAAACUUUAUUCAUUUUAUCAACAUAUCUGAAGUCAGCAGGCACUGAAUCCUUUUUUUAAUUGUUUUCUGUAAUGUAAGCUAUAUGCUCUAAGACUUAGUCAAAAAAGGUUUGGAAUAUUUCGUUAUGUGCAAUGAAAUGUAGACUAUUACAGUUCAACUUUUUGAAUUAGAAAUGCACUGAAUCUUUUCCAAAGGGAAUUCAUACAGAAUGUGAUGUAUAAAAUCCCAGGAGGGGAGUCUAAAAUGGUUGAGUUUAUUCAAACUAGAAUACUUGCUUGCAAGUAGAGCUAAUGGCUCUUAAAAGCAGCAUUUAGGAAUUUGAAUUUAUUAACUAUAGAGCUGCUGACUUUUGGCCUGUGGAAUGUUCAGCCAGUUCAAUCGAAAUUGUUGUUUUGCUCUGAAUGUUUUCCAAACUGAGUGAACUGCACCAACUGCAGUUCCACUAUAUUGUCGAUAUUAAUGUAAUAAUUUUUUUCAAAGAUUCCAUUGUUUUUGUAUUGUUUGUUUAUUGCAUAAUAUAUGCAUAAAUCUAGCAUGUAUUCUGUUCUAGGUUUGUAGUUUCACAGUUUUAUAUGGGUAGUCUAUUGCAAUUUAUUUUGUUAAAUUUUACUGUAAUGUGUUAGACUUAAUCUGGCAUAUGGGUUAAUUUUACCCAUCUUAAUAUGUAGUUAAAUCAACCCAUAAUUGUAAUUAAUUUGACCCAGCAUUUGGGUAUAAUAUUUAACAAAUAUGUAGUUAAAUCGACCCAUAAUUGUAUUUAAUUUGACCCAGCAUUUGGGUAUAAUAUUUAACAAAUAUGUAGUUAAAUCGACCCAUAAUUGUAUUUAAUUUGACCCAGCAUUUGGGUAUAAUAUUUAACAAAUAUGUAGUUAAAUCGACCCAUAAUUGUAUUUAAUUUGACCCAGCAUUUGGGUAUAAUAUUUAACAAAUAUGUAGUUAAAUCGACCCAUAAUUGUAUUUAAUUUGACCCAGCAUUUGGGUAUAAUAUUUAACAAAUAUGUAGUUAAAUCGACCCAUAAUUGUAUUUAAUUUGACCCAGCAUUUGGGUAUAAUAUUUAACAAAUAUGUAGUUAAAUCGACCCAUAAUUGUAUUUAAUUUGACCCAGCAUUUGGGUAUAAUAUUUAACAAAUAUGUAGUUAAAUCGACCCAUAAUUGUAUUUAAUUUGACCCAGCAUUUGGGUAUAAUAUUUAACAAAUAUGUAGUUAAAUCGACCCAUAAUUGUAUUUAAUUUGACCCAGCAUUUGGGUAUAAUAUUUAACAAAUAUGUAGUUAAAUCGACCCAUAAUUGUAUUUAAUUUGACCCAGCAUUUGGGUAUAAUAUUUAACAAAUAUGUAGUUAAAUCGACCCAUAAUUGUAUUUAAUUUGACCCAGCAUUUGGGUAUAAUAUUUAACAAAUAUGUAGUUAAAUCGACCCAUAAUUGUAUUUAAUUUGACCCAGCAUUUGGGUAUAAUAUUUAACAAAUAUGUAGUUAAAUCGACCCAUAAUUGUAUUUAAUUUGACCCAGCAUUUGGGUAUAAUAUUUAACAAAUAUGUAGUUAAAUCGACCCAUAAUUGUAUUUAAUUUGACCCAGCAUUUGGGUAUAAUAUUUAACAAAUAUGUAGUUAAAUCGACCCAUAAUUGUAUUUAAUUUGACCCAGCAUUUGGGUAUAAUAUUUAACUCAUCUGUUGGGUUAAAAAUGACCAACCCAUCUUUCCUGGGUUAAAUUAACUACUGUUGGUCUGGUGCAAUAGUGAUCCAGCGGUUGGGUUAUAAAACAACCCAAGUUGGGUUAUUUUUAACCCAUCAUUUUUCUGUGUGUAAGAUUGUUCAUGAAUAUGGGCCCAGAUCUACAAGAAGUGUCUCGAUAUCUCUUAAGAGGCUAAAGGAAGCAGAUAUGAUUCAUAGGAAUUAAGGAAACUCUUAUGCAGAGUUCUGAACCGUAUACUAGUGUAGCCUAUCUAUUAUAUCUGCCUACUUGCAGCCAACUCGCUCCAGCGAGGUCAUCUGUUAUAGCACACAGCAGAACUGCUCAGCUACUCAGUGGCACUGUGAUAGGAGAUGGGGGUUAUUUCUUACGAGAAAUGGACGUUUAAAAUAAAUAAAUAAAUACAAUCUAAUUGUUUUAUUGA